GCCGACGUGGCGGAAUGGUAGACGCAGCAGACUUAAAAUCUGCUUUUGGGUUCCCAAAGUGCGGGUUCGAGUCCCGCCGUCGGCA
rnacentral:tRNA from 1 species